rnacentral:lncRNA from 10 species
AAAUUACCCCGUCUCAGGCAGUUCUUUACAGCAGUGUGAAAAUGGAGUAAUACAGUGGGGGAGGCUAACUUGGACUGGGAAGGUCUGAGCCCAGGGAGCUACUUCUGGAGAUGCUGUGGUCUGGGGUGGAUCCUGCCUUCUCAGCCCCUGCCUGUUGAAGUCACUGAAGUCUCUGCUGCAUCUCCGGGCUUCUGCUGAGCAGGGCUGGAAGGUCUUGCUUGAGGAGCUGAAGCCCACCAGCAGGUGGCAGACAAAUCCAGAGGGUAUUCAUUGGAGGAUGAAGAUUUCCUGCCUCUGGCAGAGCCCCACCAACCAGGCCUGGCGAUCAUGACAUCCAAUUCCAGGGGCUGCAGGGGAGCCCUUCCUUCCGAGUGAGCCACGAGGCUGCCUGCCCUGGUGUUUGGCUUCAGGCAGCUCUGACAUCAAUCUGUCAUUCCAGAGGACACUUUUAGAUAAACAGUCUUGCUCUGUUGCCAGGCUGGAGUACAGUGGCACGAUCUUGGCUCACUGCAAUCUCCACCUCCCAGGUUCAAGCGAUUCUCCUGCCUCAGACUCCUGAAUAGCUGGGACUACAGGCAUGUGCCACCACAUCCGGCUAAUUUUUUGUAUUUUUUUAGUAGAGAUGUGGUUUCACCAUGUUGGCCAGGAUGGUCUCAAUCUCCUGACCUCAUGAUCCACCCGCCUUGGCCUCCCAAAGUGCUGGGAUUGCAGGCAUGAGCCACUGUGCCCGGCCUGCAAAUUCUUUUAAAGUACACUUUUAUAGUUGUAUAAUGCCAGUGUAGACUAACCUCUGUAACAACCAACCUUCAAAUGUCAAUGUCUUAAUAUCUUACUUUCGUAUCAAAAUACAAAGUGAGUCAGCAGGGAGACUGUUCCAGUGUCAUUCAGGGACCCUGACUUCUUCCAUCCUGUGGUUCUACCUUACCCUGGGUACUCUUCACUCAACUUAUGGAUGGGCAAAGGGAAGCGUUCAUCUGAGGUGGUCGUGUGAGUCUGUGUGAGCCUGCAAGCACUGCCCAUCUCUUACACCCACACCCCAUUGGCCAGAACUCUGUUCUCUGAUAAACAGUGGCAUCGUUGUUGUGCUUGACCACAAGAAAAGGAAUUGUGUGUCCAGGAAAGAGAGAAGAUGCAUGUAGCUGAGGAGUGGCAGUUUCGGCUGUAAAUAUAUAACCUCACCCAAGGGGGUGCUUCACCUAAAAACUUGCAGUAGGCAGAAUGAUGGUGUCCCCAGUGACGUCCACGUCCUCAUCCCAGAAUCUGUGACUAUGUCACCUUACAUGCACAAGGACCUUGCAGAUGGGAUUAAGCUGAGAAUCCUGAGAUGGGGAUGUUUUCCUGGAUAAUCUGGGCAGGCCCAGUAUCAUCACAAAGGUCCUUAGAAGUGGAAGAGGGAGGCAGGAGAGUCAGAGAGAGGUUUGAAGAUGCCGUACUGAAGGCUUUGAAGGUGGAGGAAAGGGCAAGGAACCCAGGCAGCCUCUGGAAGCAGGAAAAGGUGAAGGAAUGAAUCCCUGGAGGACGCAGCCCUGCCAACACCUCAAUUUCAGCACAGUGAGACCCAUUUUGGACCUCUGAUCUUUAAGACUAUGAGAUAAUAAAUCUGCAUUGUUGUAAGCCUCCAAGUUUGUGGCAAUUUGUUACAGCAGCCAUAGGAAAUGGAUACGGAGCUCUCUCAAUGUUGUAUCCCUACCAUGUGCCUGACCCAUUGGAGGUUCACCCAGUAGGCACAUUUUUUUCAUGUGGGCUUCAAU